GCCUAGCCCUAAACAUUAAUAGCACUUUACAUCCGCUAUUCGCCCGGGUACUACAAGCAUUAGCUUAAAACCCAAAGGACUUGGCGGUGCUUAAGAUCCACCUAGAGGAGCCUGUUCUAGAACCGAUAACCCCCGUUCAACCUCACCCUCUCUUGUUACCCCAGCCUAUAUACCGCCGUCGUCAGCCUACCCUAUGAAGGAAGAAUAGUAAGCAAAAUUGGUAUAACCCAAAACGUCAGGUCGAGGUGUAGCACAUGAAAGGGAAAGAAAUGGGCUACAUUCACUACUGUAGUGAACACGGAUGACCCACUGAAACGUGUGUCCGAAGGAGGAUUUAGCAGUAAGCAAAAAAUAGAGUGUUUUGCUGAAACUGGCCCUAAAGCGCGCACACACCGCCCGUCACCCUCCCCUAACAUACCCGAAUAAAUAUUUAAUGCCCAAACCACAAACAAGGGGAGGCAAGUCGUAACAUGGUAAGUGUACCGGAAGGUGUACUUGGAAAAAUCAGGACGUGGCCAAGACAGAAAAGCAUCUCUCUUACACAGAGAAGUCAUCCGUGCAAAUCGGAUCGUCCUGAAACCAAACAGCUAGCCCCACCAAACAACAUCAAAACACCAAUAUUAAUAACCCCUAAAACACAACCUAACCAUAAAACAAACCAUUUUUCCACCAUAGUACGGGCGACAAAAAAGGACCCAGGAGCCAUAGAGAGAGUACCGCAAGGGAAUGCUGAAAGAGAAGUGAAACAAACCAGAAAAGUUAAAAAAAGCAGAGCUUCAACCUCGUACCUUUUGCAUCAUGAUCUAGCUAGACAAACACAAGCAAAGAGCACUAUAGUUUGACACCCCGAAACUAAGUGAGCUACUCCAAGACAGCCUGUUUCAGGGCAAACCCGUCUCUGUGGCAAAAGAGUGGGAAGAGCUUCGAGUAGAGGUGACAGACCUACCGAACUUAGUUAUAGCUGGUUGCCUAAAAAUUGAAUUUAAGUUCAGCCCCUUGGCUUCUCCAUUCAUUUAACCCCAUUUUACCCGACAUUUAAAGAAACCAAGAGAGUUAGUCAAAGGGGGUCCAGCCCCUUUGAACCAAGAUACAACUUUUCCAGGAGGAUAAAGAUCAUAAUGAUUAAGGAAAAAUGUCUUAGUGGGCCUAAAAGCAGCCAUCUAAACAGAAAGCGUUAAAGCUCGAACAUAACUAACCCUUCCCAUAAUCCGGAUAACCCAAUCUUAUUCCCCCGCACCUAUUAGGCUAUUUCAUGCAAACAUGAAAGAACUAAUGCUAGUAUGAGUAAUAAGAGGGGUCAACCCCCUCUCUCUCCGCACGCAUGUACAUCGGAACGGACCACCCACCGAAAAUUACCGGCCCCCAAAAAAGAGGGAACAGAGCAACAAACAAACAACUAGAAAACCACCCAAAAACAACCGUUUAGCCCACACUGGCGUGCCUACAAAGAAAGACUAAAUGAAAAAGAAGGAACUCGGCAAACUCCCUAAGCCUCGCCUGUUUACCAAAAACAUCGCCUCUUGUACACCAAAAAUAAGAGGUCCCGCCUGCCCAGUGACAUCAUGUUAAACGGCCGCGGUAUUUUGACCGUGCAAAGGUAGCGCAAUCACUUGUCUUUUAAAUGAAGACCCGUAUGAAUGGCACAACGAGGGCUUAACUGUCUCCUUUUUCAAGUCAAUGAAAUUGAUCUCCCCGUGCAGAAGCGGGGAUAAAACCAUAAGACGAGAAGACCCUAUGGAGCUUUAGACAAUAGGACAGCCCUUGUCAAACACCCUGAGACAACAGACAAAACCAAAAGGGACCUACCCCAAUGUCUUUGGUUGGGGCGACCGCGGGGAAUAUAAAACCCCCAUGUGGAACGGGAGCACCUCUCCUAUAACCAAGAGUUACAACUCUAAGCACUAGAACUUCUAACCAAAAGAUCCGGCAAAGCCGAUCAACGAACCGAGUUACCCUAGGGAUAACAGCGCAAUCCCCUUUAAGAGCCCAUAUCGACAAGGGGGUUUACGACCUCGAUGUUGGAUCAGGACAUCCUAAUGGUGCAGCCGCUAUUAAGGGUUCGUUUGUUCAACGAUUAAAGUCCU
rnacentral:misc_RNA from 1 species